rnacentral:rRNA from 1 species
AGUGAACGCUGGCGGUAGGCCUAACACAUGCAAGUCGAACGGCAGCACAGUAAGAGCUUGCUCUUACGGGUGGCGAGUGGCGGACGGGUGAGGAAUACAUCGGAAUCUACUUUUUCGUGGGGGAUAACGUAGGGAAACUUACGCUAAUACCGCAUACGACCUACGGGUGAAAGCAGGGGAUCUUCGGACCUUGCGCGAUUGAAUGAGCCGAUGUCGGAUUAGCUAGUUGGCGGGGUAAAGGCCCACCAAGGCGACGAUCCGUAGCUGGUCUGAGAGGAUGAUCAGCCACACUGGAACUGAGACCCGGUCCAGACUCCUACGGGAGGCAGCAGGGGGGAAUAUUGGACAAUGGGCGCAAGCCUGAUCCAGCCAUACCGCGUGGGUGAAGAAGGCCUUCGGGUUGUAAAGCCCUUUUGUUGGGAAAGAAAAGCAGCAGGUUAAUACCCCGCUGUUCUGACGGUACCCAAAGAAUAAGCACCGGCUAACUUCGUG